UACGUAGGGACCAAGCGUUGUUCGGAUUUACUGGGCGUAAAGGGCGCGUAGGCGGCAAUUCAAGUCAUCUGUGAAAUCUCCGGGCUUAACUCGGAACGGUCAGAUGAUACUGCUUUGCUAGAGUACAGAAGGGGCAAUCGGAAUUCUUGGUGUAGCGGUGAAAUGCGUAGAUAUCAAGAGGAACACCUGAGGUGAAGACGGGUUGCUGGGCUGAUACUGACGCUGAGGCGCGAAAGCUAGGGUAGCAAACGGG
rnacentral:ncRNA from 3 species